rnacentral:rRNA from 1 species
AUUGAACGCUGGCGGCAGGCCUAACACAUGCAAGUCGAACGAGUGGCGGACGGGUGAGUAAUGUCUGGGAAACUGCCCGAUGGAGGGGGAUAACUACUGGAAACGGUAGCUAAUACCGCAUACCAUCGGAUGUGCCCAGAUGGGAUUAGCUAGUAGGUGGGGUAACGGCUCACCUAGGCGACGAUCCCUAGCUGGUCUGAGAGGAUGACCAGCCACACUGGAACUGAGACACGGUCCAGACUCCUACGGGAGGCAGCAGUGGGGAAUCUUGCACAAUGGGCGAAAGCCUGACGCAGCAACGCCGCGUGUAUGAAGAAGGCCUUCGGGUUGUAAAACACUUUCAGUGGGGAGGCGGUACCCAAACAGAAAGCACCGGCUAACUCCGUGCCAGCAGCCGCGGUAAUAC